rnacentral:lncRNA from 1 species
GUUUUGGUGAGCUGCCUAACUUCUUUAGCUUAAUAUCCAACCUUCUAAAUGGUUUGUUGUUCUAGGACCUUCUAUUGCAUAGUGAUUCCACAGACUUUGGUUGUUCACUACUCAGUAGCUGGUUACAUAGUCAGUAAAGUUAAGUGUUGGUGUGGUAGUAUUCUGAAUCAUGGAUGUCUUUAAGUGCAUGAAACCAAACAUCUUAAAUUGUAUUGGGUGGAAAAAGUGGCAGUACUGCAGCUCUACGAACAAGUUUGAGACCAUGCUUCACAAGUUAAUAGUGUUCAAAGCUAAUCAAAGUUCAAAGUCAUUUGGCUUUGCUUAAUCUAUUAGGCCAAUUUAUACACUUAUCUAUGAUAAUUAAGUACUUUUGAUAUUAUAUUCAUUUUUAAAAAUCAUAAUUUGUUAAGAUAAUGAAACUUAUAAAAUUAUUUGAGGCUGAAGUUGAAAG